rnacentral:rRNA from 1 species
GACAGAGGUGCCAAGCGUUAGGCGGAAUCACUGGGCUUAAAGCGUGUGUAGGCGGAUGCCUAAGUAUCUUGUGAAAUCCCACGGCUCAACCGUGGAACUGCUUGAUAUACUGGGUGUCUUGAGCCAUCUAGGGGCUACCGGAACAAAUGGUGGAGCGGUGAAAUGCGUAGAUAUCAGGAGGAACACCGGUGGCGAAGGCGGGUCUCUGGGCCGUAACUGACGCUGAGGAGCGAAAGCGUGGGGAGCGAACAGG